rnacentral:rRNA from 1 species
GAUUAAGUUAUUAAGGGCGCACGGUGGAUGCCUUGGCACUAGAAGCCGAUGAAGGACGUUACUAACGACGAUAUGCUUUGGGUAGCUGUAAGUAAGCGUUGAUCCAGAGAUUUCCGAAUGGGGGAACCCAGCAUGAGUUAUGUCAUGUUAUCGACAUGUGAAUUCAUAGCAUGUCAGAAGGCAGACCCGGAGAACUGAAACAUCUUAGUACCCGGAGGAAGAGAAAGAAAAAUCGAUUCCCUGAGUAGCGGCGAGCGAAACGGGAAAAGCCCAAACCAACAAGCUUGCUUGUUGGGGUUGUAGGACACUCUAUACGGAGUUACAAAAGAACAUGUUAGACGAAUCAUCUGGAAAGAUGAAUCAAAGAAGGUAAUAAUCCUGUAGUCGAAAACAUAUUCUCUCUUGAGUGGAUCCUGAGUACGACGGAGCACGUGAAAUUCCGUCGGAAUCUGGGAGGACCAUCUCCUAAGGCUAAAUACUCUCUAGUGACCGAUAGUGAACCAGUACCGUGAGGGAAAGGUGAAAAGUACCCCGGAAGGGGAGUGAAAGAGAACUUGAAACCGUGUGCUUACAAGUAGUCAGAGCCCGUUAAUGGGUGAUGGCGUGCCUUUUGUAGAAUGAACCGGCGAGUUACGAUCUGAUGCAAGGUUAAGCAGCAAAUGUGGAGCCGCAGCGAAAGCGAGUCUGAAUAGGGCGUUGAGUAUUUGGUCGUAGACCCGAAACCAGGUGAUCUACCCUUGGUCAGGUUGAAGUUCAGGUAACACUGAAUGGAGGACCGAACCGACUUACGUUGAAAAGUGAGCGGAUGAACUGAGGGUAGCGGAGAAAUUCCAAUCGAACUUGGAGAUAGCUGGUUCUCUCCGAAAUAGCUUUAGGGCUAGCCUCAAGUGAUGAUUAUUGGAGGUAGAGCACUGUUUGGACGAGGGGCCCCUCUCGGGUUACCGAAUUCAGACAAACUCCGAAUGCCAAUUAAUUUAACUUGGGAGUCAGAACAUGGGUGAUAAGGUCCGUGUUCGAAAGGGAAACAGCCCAGACCACCAGCUAAGGUCCCAAAAUAUAUGUUAAGUGGAAAAGGAUGUGGCGUUGCCCAGACAACUAGGAUGUUGGCUUAGAAGCAGCCAUCAUUUAAAGAGUGCGUAAUAGCUCACUAGUCGAGUGACACUGCGCCGAAAAUGUACCGGGGCUAAACAUAUUACCGAAGCUGUGGAUUGUCCUUUGGACAAUGGUAGGAGAGCGUUCUAAGGGCGUCGAAGCAUGAUCGCAAGGACAUGUGGAGCGCUUAGAAGUGAGAAUGCCGGUGUGAGUAGCGAAAGACGGGUGAGAAUCCCGUCCACCGAUUGACUAAGGUUUCCAGAGGAAGGCUCGUCCGCUCUGGGUUAGUCGGGUCCUAAGCUGAGGCCGACAGGCGUAGGCGAUGGAUAACAGGUUGAUAUUCCUGUACCACCUAGUAUCGUUUUAAUCGAUGGGGGGACGCAGUAGGAUAGGCGAAGCGUGCUGUUGGAGUGCACGUCCAAGCAGUAAGGCUGAGUGUUAGGCAAAUCCGGCACUCAUAAGGCUGAGCUGUGAUGGGGAGAGGAAAUUGUUUCCUCGAGUCGUUGAUUUCACACUGCCGAGAAAAGCCUCUAGAUAGAUAACAGGUGCCCGUACCGCAAACCGACACAGGUAGUCAAGAUGAGAAUUCUAAGGUGAGCGAGCGAACUCUCGUUAAGGAACUCGGCAAAAUGACCCCGUAACUUCGGGAGAAGGGGUGCUCUUUAGGGUUCACGCCCAGAAGAGCCGCAGUGAAUAGGCCCAAGCGACUGUUUAUCAAAAACACAGGUCUCUGCUAAACCGUAAGGUGAUGUAUAGGGGCUGACGCCUGCCCGGUGCUGGAAGGUUAAGAGGAGUGGUUAGCUUCUGCGAAGCUACGAAUCGAAGCCCCAGUAAACGGCGGCCGUAACUAUAACGGUCCUAAGGUAGCGAAAUUCCUUGUCGGGUAAGUUCCGACCCGCACGAAAGGCGUAACGAUUUGG